AUGCUUUUGCAUUCUUAUGAUGAACCAACUUUAUGCCUAAAUUAUUAUAAGCUAACAAUAAAAUCUCUAUUUCCUUUGACGCAUAAUACAGUUGGUGCCAAGAAGCAAAAUAUUCCAAAGAAGCAAAAUGUUCCAGUGACCUCUAGAUUUGAUGAGGAGUUUUUGAUAAUCGAAAGCGACAAAAUGUGGGAUGUUUUUGAUGCAAGAUGGAGUACAGAUAAAAAUGUGUGUUGUUUGAUUGAGGCAUUUGAGAAUUGA